UACGUAGGGGGCAAGCGUUGUCCGGAAUCAUUGGGCGUAAAGAGCGUGUAGGCGGCCCGAUAAGUCCGCUGUGAAAGUCCAGGGCUCAACCCUGGAAUGCCGGUGGAUACUGUCGGGCUCGAAUCCGGAAGAGGUGAGUGGAAUUCCUGGUGUAGCGGUGAAAUGCGCAGACAUCAGGAGGAACACCAAUGGCGAAGGCAGCUCACUGGGACGGUAUUGACGCUGAGACGCGAAAGCGUGGGGAGCAAACAGG
rnacentral:rRNA from 1 species